GACAGAGGUCCCAAGCGUUAGGCGGAAUCACUGGGCUUAAAGCGUGUGUAGGCGGACUUCUAAGUACCUUGUGAAAUCCCACGGCUCAACCGUGGAACUGCUUGGUAUACUGGUUGUCUUGGGCCAUCUAGGGGCUAGCGGAACAAACGGUGGAGCGGUGAAAUGCGUAGAUAUCGUUUGGAACGCCAAUGGUGAAGACGGGUGACUGGGCUGGUUCUGACACUGAGGCACGAAAGCGUGGGGAGCGAACGGG
rnacentral:rRNA from 1 species